rnacentral:lncRNA from 1 species
AAGAAAGACAAAGACGAAGCAGAAGAAGUUUUAGUGAUUGAAGGGAUUGAGUAUCGAAUAGAUCUAUAUAUAAAGUUUAACGUGCUCAUAAAUGACGUGCCUGACACACCUGGUAAAGCAGACGACGCAGAGUUUGCCGGAACCUUUGUCAAUGUGCCUCAUAAUCGUAACAAGACAGUAAAGACAAGUUUGAGGUUGGGAAUUUCUGAGCUAUUGGAGGAUUUGGAAGCUGAAGAUGAUGAAAGUGUGGUGGUGACUUUGGUGCCGGUAACAAAUAUAGGUGAGGCUAC